GUGGGGAAUAUUGGACAAUGGGGGGAACCCUGAUCCAGCCAUGCCGCGUGUGUGAAGAAGGCCUUUUGGUUGUAAAGCACUUUAAGCGAGGAGGAGGCUACCGAGAUUAAUACUCUUGGAUAGUGGACGUUACUCGCAGAAUAAGCACCGGCUAACUCUGUACCAGCAGCCGCGGUAAUACAGAGGGUGCAAGCGUUAAUCGGAUUUACUGGGCGUAAAGCGCGCGUAGGUGGCCAAUUAAGUCAAAUGUGAAAUCCCCGAGCUUAACUUGGGAAUUGCAUUCGAUACUGGUUGGCUAGAGUAUGGGAGAGGAUGGUAGAAUUCCAGGUGUAGCGGUGAAAUGCGUAGAGAUCUGGAGGAAUACCGAUGGCGAAGGCAGCCAUCUGGCCUAAUACUGACACUGAGGUGCGAAAGCAUGGGGAGCAAACAGGAUUAGAAACCCCAGUAGUCC
rnacentral:rRNA from 1 species